GAGGAAUAAAAACCGGGAAAAGAUCUUAACAGCUGAAUACAGCAAAAAGAAAGAAAUAUUGUGCGUUUAUAAAGUAAAAGUGUGUUAAGUGCCAAUCUCAAUUGAUUGGCGGUUAGUACCGGCUUAAACUUCGGGCAAUCGUUUGGGUACCUGUCUGAACCCCAAUACGAAAGCUCGCAACAACAAUUUCCCCGAUAUUAGGGCCUCCGCCCCCGACAAGGGACUUAUGCUCCUCGCCCAACUACAGCUCCGUACCAAAAAUUCCCAGCGCUAGGCCGAGCAGCACAAAGCGGGAGGCGUAAAAGAUCGGCUCAUCAGUCGCUUUGCGGGCGCGAGCCACUUAUGUGUCACGGACCCGCGAUAUAUUGGAGGCCGUCCAAUUCUGCGGAAAUUAUUAAAGCUAUGUAAACGGU